ACUGGUGCCAGCAGCCGCGGUAAUUCCAGCUCCAAUAGCGUAUAUUAAAGUUGUUGCAGUUAAAAAGCUCGUAGUUGAAUUUCGGGAUCAAAUUGUCGGUCGUGCCUUGGUACGCACUGGCAUUACUGGUUCCUACCUUCUGAAGAACCGCCAUUGUCAUUAAUUUGGUGUCGUGGGGAAUUCAGGACUGUUACUUUGAAAAAUUAGAGUGUUUAAAGCAGGCGCACGCUUGAAUACAUUAGCAUGGAAUAAUGAAAUAGGACGUUUGAUUCUAAUUUUGUUGGUUUCUAGGGUCGACGUAAUGAUUAAUAGGGAUAGUUAGGGGCAUUAGUAUUCAAUUGUCAGAGGUGAAAUUCUUGGAUUUAUUGAAGACUAACUACUGCGAAAGCAUUUGCCAAGGAUGUUUUCAUUAAUCAAGAACGAAAGUUAGGGGAUCGAAGACGAUCAGAUACCGUCGUAGUCUUAACCAUAAACUAUGCCGACUAGGGAUCGGAUGAUGUUAAUUUUUUAAUGACUCAUUCGGCGCCUUACG
rnacentral:rRNA from 1 species